rnacentral:rRNA from 1 species
AGUGAACGCUGGCGGCAGGCCUAACACAUGCAAGUCGAACGGCAGCACAGAGGAGCUUGCUCCUUGGGUGGCGAGUGGCGGACGGGUGAGGAAUACGUCGGAAUCUGCCUAUUUGUGGGGGAUAACGUAGGGAAACUUACGCUAAUACCGCAUACGACCUACGGGUGAAAGCGGAGGACCUUCGGCUUCGCGCAGAUAGAUGAGCCGACGUCGGAUUAGCUAGUUGGCGGGGAAGGCCCACCAAGGCGACGAUCCGUAGCUGGUCUGAGAGGAUGAUCAGCCACACUGGAACUGAGACACGGUCCAGACUCCUACGGGAGGCAGCAGUGGGAAUAUUGGACAAUGGGCGCAAGCCUGAUCCAGCCAUGCCGCGUGUGUGAAGAAGG